UACGAAGGUGGCAAGCGUUACUCGGAAUUACUAGGCGUAAAGGGCAGGUAGGCGGUUUGAUAAGUCUGUUGUGUAAGCUCCCGGCUUAACUGGGAGAGGUCAACAGAUACUGUCAGGCUUGAGUAUAGGAGAGGUUACUGGAAUUCCCGGUGUAGCGGUGAAAUGCGCAGAUAUCGGGAGGAACACCGGUGGCGAAGGCGGAUCUCUGGGCCGAUACUGACGCUGAGGAGCGAAAGCGUGGGGAGCGAACAGG
rnacentral:rRNA from 1 species